rnacentral:rRNA from 1 species
CUACGGGAUGCACCAGUGGGGGAUAUUGCACAAUGGGGGAAACCCUGAUGCAGCAACGCCGCGUGAAGGAAGACGGUUUUCGGAUUGUAAACUUCUAUCAGCAGGGAAGAAAAUGACGGUACCUGACUAAGAAGCCCCGGCUAACUACGUGCCAGCAGCCGCGGUAAUACGUAGGGGGCAAGCGUUAUCCGGAAUUACUGGGUGUAAAGGGUACGUAGGCGGCUGAUCAAGUCAGAUGUGAAAGCCCGGAGCUCAACUCCGGGACUGCAUUUGAAACUGGUCGGCUAGAGUGCAGGAGAGGAAAGUGGAAUUCCUAGUGUAGCGGUGAAAUGCGUAGAUAUUAGGAAGAACACCAGUGGCGAAGGCGGCUUUCUGGACUGUAACUGACGCUGAGGUACGAAAGCGUGGGGAGCGAACAGGAUUAGAUACCCUAGUAGUC